rnacentral:rRNA from 1 species
AAUAAGGAAAAUUAUUGUUUUAUAUUGAAUGGAAAUGAUUAAAGAAAAAAUUUUUAGUUAAGUAAAUAAAUUGAAUAGUAGGGAUUAAUUAUAGGGGAUUAGUAUUGUGAAAGAAUUUUUUUUAUGGGUAAAAGAAGAAUUUUUUUUUGUACCUUGUGUAUCAGGGUUAACUAAUUUUUUUAUGGAAAAUAAUUUUCUCGAAUUUAAAAGAGUUAAAUUUAAAGUGAAUUAAAUGUGGAAUAAUUUUUUUUAAUUUAAAUUUAGUAAUGAAAUGUUAUUCGUUUUUAAUAUAUCUAGUUAUUAGAGAAAAAAGUUUAAUUUGUUUGUUGAGAAUAUUUUUUUUUAUUUCAAAUUUAAUGUUAUUAACAAGUUAUUUUUAAAGGGAUGAGCUUUUAUAAAAAUUUUUAAAAAUUAGGGGUAGUUUUUAAAAAAUUAUGGGGUUAGAAGUGCUUUUUAUUAAUAAAGUGUUAUAAUUAAUUUUUGAUUGUUUAUUAUUUCUAUUAAUUUUAAAUAUUUUAUCUAAUAGAAUGUAAGAAUUAAGGAUGUGUUGUUAUAAUGGUUAAAUUAGUAUUUUUGAAUUGUGAAAUAAUUUUUAUAGGGGAGGUUAUUUUAAGGAAUUCGGCAAAUAUUUUUUCACCUGUUUAUUAAAAACAUGGCUUUUUGAAUAUAAUUUGAGGUCUGACCUGCCCACUGAGGAUUUAAAUGGCCGCGGUAUUUUGACCGUGCUAAGGUAGCAUAAUCAUUAGUUUUUUAAUUGAAAGCUGGAAUGAAGGGUUGGAUGAAAAAGGGACUGUCUCUGAAUUAUUUUGAAAGAAUUUUAUUUUUAAGUAAAAAAGCUUAAAUUUUUUUAAAAGACGAGAAGACCCUAUAGAGUUUUAUAUAAGAUAAAUAUUUAUCUUUAAGUAUUUUUAAUUAAGUGUUUAUUUUGUAUUUGGUUGGGGUGACUAAAAAAUUUGUAGAACUUUUUUAUUUAAGACCAUUUAUUUAUGAAAAAUUGAUCCAUAGUUAGUGAUUAAAAGAAAAAAUUACCUUAGGGAUAACAGCGUAAUUUUUUUUAAGAGUUCAAAUCGAAAAAAAAGAUUGCGACCUCGAUGUUGGAUUAAAAUUAAUUUUUGGUGCAGAAGCUAGGAAUUUUAGGUCUGUUCGACCUUUGAAAUUUUACAUGAUCUGAGUUUAAACCGGUGUGAGCCAGGUUGGUUUCUAUCUUUAAAUUAAUUAUAUGUUUUAGUACGAAAGGACCAAGGGUGUGGUAUACUAUUUAUUUUAAUGAGCAAUUGU